GGAGUCUGGACCGUGUCUCAGUUCCAAUGUGACCGUUCAUCCUCUCAGACCGGUUACCGAUCGUCGGCUUGGUAAGCCGUUACCUUACCAACUACCUAAUCGGACGCAGGCUCCUCGCAAAGCGAUAAAUCUUUAAUAACCUCUCCAUGCGAAAAAGUUAUAACAUUCGGUAUUAGCAACCCUUUCGAGCUGUUGUCCCCAACUUUGCGGCAGAUUGCCUACGCGUUACUCACCCGUUUGCCGGUCGCCAUCAGAAGUUGCAAGCAACUCCCAUGCUGCCCCUCGACUUGCAUGUGUUAAGCCUGUAGCUAGCGUUCAUC
rnacentral:rRNA from 1 species